CUACGUUGAUAACAGGUCGCCAAGACUCACCCACGGAUGCUUCCUCAGUCCGUGGCUCUGAA
rnacentral:sRNA from 12 species